rnacentral:rRNA from 1 species
AACGAACGCUGGCGGCAGGCUUAACACAUGCAAGUCGAGCGCCCCGCAAGGGGAGCGGCAGACGGGUGAGUAACGCGUGGGAAUCUACCCAUCUCUACGGAAUAACGCAUGGAAACGUGUGCUAAUACCGUAUACGUCCUUCGGGAGAAAGAUUUAUCGGAGAUGGAUGAGCCCGCAUUGGAUUAGCUAGUUGGUGGGGUAAAGGCCUACCAAGGCGACGAUCCAUAGCUGGUCUGAGAGGAUGAUCAGCCACACUGGGACUGAGACACGGCCCAGACUCCUACGGGAGGCAGCAGUGGGGAAUAUUGGAAGAUGGGCGCAAGCCUGAUCCAGCCAUGCCGCGUGAGUGAUGAAGGCCCUAGGGUUGUAAAGCUCUUUCACCGGUGAAGACAAUGACGGUAACCGGAGAAGAAGCCCCGGCUAACUUCGUGCCAGCCGCCGCGGUAAAAC